UGAUGCACAAUAUGGACUUAGAUCUGUCGUUUUCUUUCAAAUACUCCUCGAUGGAGAACAGAAAUUGUAAUUUCACAAACAUUAAAACCACAUUGUUCAUUCAGAUAGGUUAUGGCAUUGCUGCACUAAGGAAGACAGCAGGAGCAGGACUGAGGCCAGUGUGCUCUGAGAAGGAAUUGCUGCCCACCAGGGCAUGUUGGGGGGACACCUGAGGGAAAAGAGUGGUUCUGGAACUUUCUGCAGACACUACUGCCACAGGGCAGGCUUUGGCUGUGUGGAUAUGGCUGGGAUUAAUGAAAAUGCAUUGGCACUCCUGAGAGAUAGGGAAGAUUUCCUGUCACCUCCAUGCAGACAGCUUUUAUGUAGGGAAAAAAGUUAAAGAAGCAGUAAAAAUAAUCCUCUGUUGGGAUCUGCAUACAACAGAGUUUGUGAC